rnacentral:tRNA from 1 species
GCGUCUGUAGUCCAACGGUUAGGAUUAUUGCCUUCUAAUCAAUAGACUCGGGAUCUACUACCGACAGACGCA